ACUGUGGCCAGAUGCGGGCUUUCUGCUCCCGUAGCCAGCCACGUGUCCUAGGACGCGCUCUUCCUCCGAGGCCCCGCAGAGCGCUCGGUCUCCGGCAGCAGAGGACGCACAGCCUGUGUCCUAGCAUCCACCCCUCCCGACCUGCUGCGGGACGUGGACCGCUAGGUAAAAAGACGAAAGUUGUUCCCGUGCGCCGCCACCCUCACAGCCGGUUGGUGCCAACGCGUUGGAAAAAGUGUUGGGUUGCACAACCCGCAGGGAGGCUUCAGCUCCACACCAAUGGCUUCUCGCGGAGCAGGCUGCUGGCGGAGGCCGUGGGCACCUCCCUCGGCGGCCGCGACCUGCCGAAGGGAUGCUUCCCGGACUCCGCGAUUGGAGGGUUCUGCACCUGCGCGGUCCAAUAAGGCAGGCUGUAGCCACGUGUGUCAGCUGAGCCCUUGAAAGGUGUUGGGGACCCGGUGCUCUGAUCCCCAGAGCUGACACAAAGAUUAUUUUAUGCUGGAGACGUUUGAGAUUCAACAGAUGCCGAUAAAAGCUUCCUGGGAGCUUCCUUUAUCGGACUAAAAGCAACUUCUGGGAAAUGAGGGUACCAUAAAUUCCCUCUUGCGAGACGUUUUAUGGCUCUGAAGACUCCGAAAAACCGCUCUAACCUACACUGACAAACAUUUUCACAAACGUUUUUUUUUGUUUUCCUUUCCUUUCCUUUUUCUUUCUGCAGUGCUGGGGAUCACACCCAGGGCUUUGUGCAAGCUAGGAAAGCUCUUGACCGCUGAGCCACAUCUCUGAGCCACAUCCCGGAGCUGUGUUUUCACAAGCUUUCUUAUCUCCUGCUCUUUCAGACUCAUUUGUCUUUCCUCUAGAAAACUAUUUAUUUUUCCUAUUGAAGUCCUUUCUUCCCCCUCCCUUUUACCUACUAAAUUAAGUAUACGAGUCUGUAUAAGCCUUUAACCAUUUAAGGAGCCAGCUAUUUCCUUUCUGGCUUCUUGUAAAUCUGCCUUUGCACGUUGAAUUUGCAGGCCCCAGUCGGAGAAUGUAAGAUGGAGGGAAAAAAAUGUUUUCCUUCUGUGCAGUGGCUAGUACGCAGAGAUAGGUGCUGUUAGAUGUAAAAAAAUAUAAACGUGCAAAUGUUUCAAAGAUUUAUGAAACUAAAGAAAGUAAGAUAUCUCAUUAAUACUUGUGCAUACCUAUAAUCCCAGUUACUCAGAAGGCUGAGGCAGGAAGAUCACAAGUUCAACACCAGCCUCAGCAAUUUAGUGAGACUCUGCAUAACUUAGAAUCCUUUAAAUCAAAUUUUAAAAUAAAUAAAUAAAAAUAAAAAAGACUAUGGAUGUAGCUCAGUGGUAAAGCACCCCUGGGAUCAGUCUCAAGUACCACAAAACAAAAAACCAGAAACACAAAUUGUAUUUUGAUUAUACAUUGAAAUGGUCAAUUUUGAUCAACUGGGUUAAAAUAAAUAUGUUACCAUGAUUAAUUUUACUUUAAAAAAAAAACUUUCUUAAAAUCUAUUUGAAAAUCUCAAAUAAGAUGUUAGCUCAUGGAUGUGUAACCGAUGUGAUUCUGCAAUCUGUAUUUGGGGUAAAAAUGGGAGUUCAUAACCCACUUGAAUCUAAUGUAUGAAAUAUGAUAUGUCAAGAGCUUUGUAAUGUUUUGAACAACCAAUAAAAAAAAAAUCCAAGAAAAAAAAAAAAAAGAUGUUAGCUCAGCUGGGCAUGGUAGUGCACAUCUGUAAUCCCAGCUCCUUGGAAGGCUGAGGCAGGAGGAUCACAGGUUCAAGGCCAGCCUGGGCAACUUAG
rnacentral:lncRNA from 1 species